ensembl:lncRNA LINC01968 long intergenic non-protein coding RNA 1968
AACACAAGAGGCAAAGAUCACUCGGGACCACCUUGUAUAUUGGCUACCACAGAACCCAACACAAGCAGUAAGUUAAAAUCAUGAAGCUCCUGACGUCAGAGGACAUGGCUCUGCCAUUUGUUAGGUAGGGAUCCUGUUAAAGGCUCAGCUUCCUCAUCUGGAAAUGGAAAUAUAGGCCUUGCCUGGUUUGCUGUAAUGGGUCGUGAUGAGGACCAAACUACAAAGAGUGGUACAGAUGUUAAUUACAAUGAUUUUUCCUAUGCCACCCAUGGAAACAAAAAUAGCAAGAUAGAGAAGGCUAAAUCCCAGUUUUUUUUGACUGCUAUUCAGCAAAGCCUAGGAGACUUUCAUGACACCUGGAGAGGCGGCCGUAGUGUAUGUGUAAGAGUACCGGUUCCAGAGUGGGGCUCCCCGAGCUCAGCCCCACCACUUACCAACAGCGGACCUUGGGCCAGAUGCUGAAGCCCUUUGUGCCUUGGUUUCCUGACCUAUUACUGUGGAAAUGAUGACAGUACCCUCCUCAUGGCAUCGUGAGAAUUAAAUUAGCUAAUUCAGGUGAAGCAUUUAGAAGAGGACCUCCUGACACUUAAUAACUGCUUGAUAUAAAUAAUAGCUUCUGCUACAGAGUGGCCAUGAAGUCUGGACAUGUAGAUAUUAUAUUAUCAUGCAUCAUAAGGAUUGCCUUGGAAAGAAAUCAAACUCAGAAACAGACAAGCCAAGCCCACCGUAUUCUUGGAGACACCUUCAGGUUGUGAGUGAGGAAUGGAUGCCAUUGUUAGUGGCUUCCGUUGUGCUCAGUGGAAACACGCAUCUACAGGUAGAAUGUAGAGGAACAGCCCAAUUCAGCUGUCUUGUGGAUUUCAGGCUGUGGUCUCUCUGCCUCUCUCUGGAACACAGGAGGAACUUUGCUACUGCCUUGACCAACAGAAUAUGGGGGAAGCGACAUUGUGUGAAUUACAAGAUGGAGUAUCACUCUGUCACCCCGGCUGGAGUGCAGUGGCGCGAUCUCGGCUCACCGCAAGCUCCACCUCCCGGGUUCUAUUGAUUCUCCUGCCUCAGCCUCCUGAAUAGCUGGGGCUACAGGGUGACUAACAGACCAUCAGAGUGGCAGGAAAUUGGAGAAUCGCUACGACAGUCACCCAGCCUGGCUGGCAGCAUUGAAAGAACAAACAAGUACAUCUUCCAUAAAGACCGCGCCCUGAGCUCACCAUUCCUCUUUCUGAGAGAGCUGAGGCAGUUCUUCCUUCAGGGGAGCAACCAUUGUUCUAGGCUCAAAGCAAGUCUGAGAGAGACGCACACGUGUGGGAUUCUAGGACCUUGACCCUCCACCGCAAACAGAGGCACUCACCUCUGCAUUCUGGGAAACGGCAGUCUGUGUGUCAGCCAGAUAAACACUUAAGUUCAGGGGCAUCUGACAAACAGCUGUCCCCACCGACCUUGUUUUGUUGGUCCCAUUUUCACAACUGUUGAUGUGGCUUCCUGAGUUCCUGACCACUUGAAUAAACAACCAAGAGCAGCA